UGCGAAACUCGAAUGAACGAACGGAGAGAUUCAUCGUCUAUUCCGGGCGUGCGGGCGUGUCGUACGAUGUCGUGCACUUCCUCGUGGAGUUGUCGCGGCACGUCGCGCGUCCGUCUCGCGUCCCGGGACGGCGUGCACUUCUCUCUCAGUAAUACAUCGCGACCCGUUCGAUGUCGGUCUAAGCGCCGCCCGGGAGUCUCUCGGUCCGCCCGCAAGGGUGCGAUCGGUGUGACCGGUGCGGUACGUUGCCGACCGGCCGUCGGACGGUAGUUUGAACGAAACGCGCACGCGUACAAUAUACGCGUCCGGCCCGACGCAAGGCAUCAAGCGUCGUCAUCCUCGUAUCUGCCCGAGUGCGAACGAGGGGGCGGCGCGCCUGUCGUCGCAGCCGUGCAUGUCUCGGACAGUGCGCGUGUCAGUCUGCGAUGAUUCAGUUUCGG
rnacentral:rRNA from 1 species